GACGAACGCUGGCGGCGCGCCUAACACAUGCAAGUCGAACGAGCGAGAGAGAGCUUGCUUUCUCAAGCGAGUGGCGAACGGGUGAGUAACGCGUAUCGAACCUGCCUCAUACUCGGGGAUAGCCUUGCGAAAGUAAGAUUAAUACCCGGCGGUCUCGGAUGGCCGCAUGACCAUCCGAGUGAAGAUUUAUCGGUAUGAGAUGGCGAUGCGUCCCAUUAGCUAGUUGGUGAGGUAAUGGCUCACCAAGGCAUCGAUGGGUAGGGGUUCUGAGAGGAAGGUCCCCCACAUUGGAACUGAGACACGGUCCAA
rnacentral:rRNA from 1 species